GUAAGACUCUGGAUCGUCGUCCCACAGUUCACUGGAAGUUACUAGCAGUACUGCCAACCCCUAGCUAAGUGCUGUUUACAGUGGGCGUUUGGAUUUAGCAAUUUUACGUAUUCUAAAGACGUCAAGUUUUUGGAAUUUUCAGCAAGAGCGUUCUCAUGAUUUGCAAAUCACUGUGGUUGAAAAACAACAAAACAGACAUUAUUAAAGCAUCGUUCACGUGACGCCUCGAAGCCAGAAACGCAGUCGGUACGCGUCCAUUAGCAGUUUCCUACGUUCCCGGCUGAUUGUCAUUGUCGGAAUAGGUUCGUCAAUCACCUUUCUAUGGUUCUGUAUACUCGAUGUAGUUAUUUCCUUCGCUAAUUAUUUCUGUAUCACGAGAGAAUUUCAACCGCGUAAACGUGUCCAUAAUGCAUCUAUUGCAAAACAGCUGACUACUUCGACCUUUAAUCUGGAAUAACGGCGUAUCACAUUCCGCAAGUGACGAUUCAACUAUUCUGAGGUUUCACGGGUCAACUGACAGGCCAAUAGCAAUGCGGCUAUCUGUUGGAUUCAGUGUUGCACGAGAACCAAUUUCAGUCACACAGUAUAACGCAAGUUCUUUUAUAAUACAUAUACAGUGGUAGAUCAUUGAGUGAGGUUAGAUUCGUUUUCGUCCAAUGGAAAGUUACAGGGAUCGAUCGGCUCACGGAUAAUCCUUUCCGUUAAGUUUCAGAUUAAUUAAAUACCGGAAAGUGUACAGGACGUAUAAAUAUGAGGAAGCCGAUACGUCUGGCGCAUAGGACUGUUAGACAGUAGUGUAGCGUUAGAUACCAACUGUUGCCUACUUCACUCUUAACCCAGUCAACCAAUUCGAGUGUCACUCUUUGUCAAAGGUGAUGGAGCUCCGUGUUCUCUCGCAAUAUAUUCCAUUCUUCUUACGGUCACUUUUAUUCGUGACUUGCCGGCGCGCAGAUUCAGCACGCUAACGGGUGUCCAGGAUUAAUUGAGAACGGGACAUAUUUUACCCAGAGG